CCACCCCAUAACCCCCCAUAACCCCUUGGCCCCAUAACCUUCCACCCCAUAACAACCCCAUAACCCCUUGGCCCCAUAACCCCUUGGCCCCAACCCCCCCUCCCAUAACCCCUUGGCCCCAUAACCUUCCACCCCAUAACCAUGGGAGCUGUGGGGCCCGGGGGGGUCCUCAUCUUCAUCAUCCUCAUCAUCAGCCCCGCUCCCCACAGGUCCUCCUGCCCCUCAUUGGCGGUGGGUCCGUCGGUCCUCCAGGCCGCUGUGGGGCGCUGCGCCCUCUUCCCGUGCCGUUACCGCCUGUGCCCCGCCGCCCCCCCCGGCGUCCGCCCCACACUGCGGUGGCUGCGGGACCCCAUUUUCAGCCGCCCCUAUGGGGACUUCCGCGGCCCUUUAUUGGCCUCCAGCGACCCGCGGAGCGCCACGAGGGGGCGGUUGGUGGCGCCCCCCGGCGGCGCGGAGGGGGAUUGCAGUAUGGCGCUGCCGGCGGUGACGGUGGAGGACGCGGGGAAUUAUGGGAUGCGGCUGUUGGCCAACGCGACGCGGCGGCAGCCGGAUUGGAGGUGGCUGUAUAACGUCAGACUCAACGUCAGCGCGUCCCCCCCCCCUCCCCUGCUGUCCCCAGCUCCGACCCCCCUCCCGGAGGGUCUCUCCGUAACCCUGACCUGUUGGACCCCCCCGGGAUGCCCGGAUGAAGCCCCCCCCAUCCUGACAUGGGAAGGGGCUGCAGCGGAACGAAAGGGGACUCAGACGGUUCCCACCACCCCCCCCCGCCCCCCCCCGCAACGAAGGGAACGACGACGACCCCCUCCUCCUCCCCCCCUUCUCUCCCCCGACGGCCGACCGUGGGGGGGGGUCGCGGUGGCUCUGAAGUUCGUCCCCACGUGGGAUCUGGACGGAACCGCCCUGCGCUGCAACCGCCGCGACCCCCGAGAGGGGGGGUUUGGGGGGGGGAGGUGUGGAGCGAAAGGAAGCUCAGGGUGUUGUGUGAGUACGGGGGGGGGGAUAUGGGG
ensembl:lncRNA